GGCCUACGGGGGGCAGCAGUGGGGAAUAUUGGACAAUGGGGGAAACCCUGAUCCAGCGACGCCGCGUGAGUGAAGAAGUAUUUCGGUAUGUAAAGCUCUAUCAGCAGGGAAGAAAAUGACGGUACCUGACUAAGAAGCCCCGGCUAACUACGUGCCAGCAGCCGCGGUAAUACGUAGGGGGCAAGCGUUAUCCGGAUUUACUGGGUGUAAAGGGAGCGCAGACGGCGAAGCAAGUCUGAAGUGAAAUGCAUGGGCUCAACCCAUGAAUUGCUUUGGAAACUGUUUGGCUUGAGUGUCGUAGGGGG
rnacentral:rRNA from 1 species